GAUCAUUUGUGGUGCUUCCGGUCUUUUUUUUGUUCAGCCCGUACUCGGAGCCCCUCGGCUCUCCUCCUGUGGGUGAAUCGGACCCCGAAGUCGGUCUGCGAGGCUACUCGCUGCACUUCGUCCUGCACAACACAGGCUCAGAGAUCAUGGCGGGAAACUUCCGCCAGCUGUGCUGUCGCCNNNNNNNNNNCAGGUAAUCUGAUUACAUGAUCUGACCCAGUUAUCUGAUCACAUAGUUAUUGACAGGUAAUCUGAUUACAUAAUGUGAGCAGCUUAGAAUGUAAUUUAAGUACAUAAUAUAACCUGAAUAAAAGGUAAUCUAGUUACAUCACAUAGGCGAGGAUAAUGGCUAAAAAAAUAUAUAGUAGGCUUUGCGAUUCAAAAUAAAUAAGCAGUUCUAAUAUUUUAAAUGUUUUCUAGAACUCUGAGAAUUUCAACUUUCUUUCUCGCCAUUUUUUCGGUACUCAACCUGGGAUUAAAUAAACAGGUGGACCCGUCCUGCUGGUUUUGUGUGCUGAUCAGGUGGAAUCCAGCGCGGCCUGCUGGAGCUCAGGGUCAUCAGCAGGAGCGACGUGUCCCAGCACAGGUCGCUCUCCGGGGCCAUCGAGCUGCCCUGGAGGAGCGAGGCCCUGCAGGGCUCCGUGGAGAACUGCUGCGUGAUGACGCUGACCCUGCUGGACGACUCCCAGAAGCCUCGCUGGUGCGUCAGCUCCUCCGUCGCCGUUGUCGGGGCGACGGGGCCUCCGGCCCUCGACUACGCCGGCGAGCACUUCGUGAUGUGCCACUGCGACCCCGGGGGUCAGGUGACCAUGAGGCUGGUCCGGCUGACGGAGCAGAGGCAGUUCCUCGUGGUCGACCUCGUCGUCCGCGUUCCCGCCGCCGGGCGCCACUAGCGCUUCAGAGCUCGUGCGUGAUUUAG
ensembl:lncRNA